GAGAGCGGCGGACGGGUGAGUAACACGUGGACAACCUGCCCCCCGGUCGGGAUAGCCCAGGGAAACCUGGAUCAAUACCGGAUGCGAGGGCGGCCGCACAAGCGGCCGUCGGGAAAGGCGCUUCGGCGCCGCCGGGGGGAUGGGUCCGCGUCCCAUUAGGCUAGACGGUGGGGUAAACGGCCCACCGUGGCGAUGAUGGGUAGCCGGCCUGAGAGGGUGGACGGCCACAUUGGAACUGAGACACGGUCCAGACUCCUACGGGAGGCAGCAGCUAAGAAUCUUCCGCAAUGGGCGAAAGCCUGACGGAGCGACGCCCGCGUGAACGAAGAAGGCCGUGAGGUUGUAAAGUUCUUUUCGGGAGGGGGAACGAGGCUGCCAGGCAAUGGGCGGCCGAUGACGUGAAUCCCGGAAUAAGCCCCGGCUAACUACGUGCCAGCAGCGGC
rnacentral:rRNA from 1 species